ACGCUCGACACCUACGGGAGGCAGCGGUGGGGAAUAUUGCACAAUGGGGGAAACCCUGAUGCAGCGACGCCGCGUGGAGGAAGAAGGUCUUCGGAUUGUAAACUCCUGUUGUUGGGGAAAAAGAGGAUGGUACCCAACAAGGAAGUGACGGCUAACUACGUGCCCGCAGCCGCGGUAAUCUGAGCGGGCUGGCAAGGC
rnacentral:rRNA from 1 species